rnacentral:rRNA from 1 species
UACGAGGGGUCCAAGCGUUGUUCGGAUUUAUUGGGCGUAAAGAGCGUGUAGGCGGCCAGGUAGGUCUGCUGUGAAAACUCGAGGCUUAACCUCGAGCUGUCGGCGGAAACCAUCUGGCUAGAGUCCGGAAGAGGAGAAUGGAAUUCCCGGUGUAGCGGUGAAAUGCGCAGAUAUCGGGAAGAACACCCGUGGCGAAGGCGGUUCUCUGGGACGGUACUGACGCUGAGACGCGAAAGCGUGGGGAGCGAACAGG